rnacentral:rRNA from 1 species
UACAGAGGGUGCGAGCGUUAAUCGGAAUUACUGGGCGUAAAGCGUGCGUAGACGGUAGCGUAAGUCAGAUGUGAAAGCCCCGGGCUCAACCUGGGAAUUGCAUUUGAGACUGCUCUGCUCGGGUGCGGAAGAGGGAAGCGGAAUUUCCGGUGUAGCGGUGAAAUGCGUAGAUAUCAGGAGGAACACCUGUGGUGUAGACAGCUUACUGGACCACUUCUGACGCUGAGACACAAAAGCGUGGGUAGCAAACAGG